rnacentral:sRNA from 1 species
AAGGCGGAAACAAAAUUAAUGAAGUUUAUAUUCUAAAAUGUUUCAAUGACCAGUCGCCGACCGGAUGGAGGGGCAAUACAUAU